rnacentral:rRNA from 1 species
UACGUAGGGUGCAAGCGUUAAUCGGAAUUACUGGGCGUAAAGCGUGCGCAGGCGGUGAUGUAAGACAGUUGUGAAAUCCCCGGGCUCAACCUGGGAACUGCAUCUGUGACUGCAUCGCUGGAGUGCGGCAGAGGGGGAUGGAAUUCCGCGUGUAGCAGCGAAAUGCGUAGAUAUGCGGAGGAACACCGAUGGCGAAGGCAGCCUCCUGGGCCAGCACUGACGCUCAUGCACGAAAGCGUGGGGAGCAAACAGG